rnacentral:rRNA from 1 species
GACGAACGCUGGCGGCGUGCCUAAUACAUGCAAGUCGAACGCUUUUUCUUUCACCGGAGCUUGCUCCACCGAAAGAAAAAGAGUGGCGAACGGGUGAGUAACACGUGGGUAACCUGCCCAUCAGAAGGGGAUAACACUUGGAAACAGGUGCUAAUACCGUAUAACACUAUUUUCCGCAUGGAAGAAAGUUGAAAGGCGCUUUUGCGUCACUGAUGGAUGGACCCGCGGUGCAUUAGCUAGUUGGUGAGGUAACGGCUCACCAAGGCCACGAUGCAUAGCCGACCUGAGAGGGUGAUCGGCCACACUGGGACUGAGACACGGCCCAGACUCCUACGGGAGGCAGCAGUAGGGAAUCUUCGGCAAUGGACGAAAGUCUGACCGAGCAACGCCGCGUGAGUGAAGAAGGUUUUCGGAUCGUAAAACUCUGUUGUUAGAGAAGAACAAGGAUGAGAGUAGAACGUUCAUCCCUUGACGGUAUCUAACCAGAAAGCCACGGCUAACUACGUGCCAGCAGCCGCGGUAAUACGUAGGUGGCAAGCGUUGUCCGGAUUUAUUGGGCGUAAAGCGAGCGCAGGCGGUUUCUUAAGUCUGAUGUGAAAGCCCCCGGCUCAACCGGGGAGGGUCAUUGGAAACUGGGAGACUUGAGUGCAGAAGAGGAGAGUGGAAUUCCAUGUGUAGCGGUGAAAUGCGUAGAUAUAUGGAGGAACACCAGUGGCGAAGGCGGCUCUCUGGUCUGUAACUGACGCUGAGGCUCGAAAGCGUGGGGAGCGAACAGG